rnacentral:rRNA from 1 species
UACGAAGGGGGCUAGCGUUGCUCGGAAUUACUGGGCGUAAAGGGAGCGUAGGCGGGUUAUCAAGUUGGAGGUGAAAGCCCAGGGCUCAACCUUGGAAUUGCCUUCAAAACUGAUAGCCUAGAGUAUGAUAGAGGUAUGUGGAACUCCGAGUGUAGAGGUGAAAUUCGUAUAUAUUCGGAAGAACACCAGUGGCGAAGGCGACAUACUGGGUCAUGACUGACGCUGAGGCUCGAAAGCGUGGGGAGCAAACAGG